UACGUAGGGGGCGAGCGUUGUCCGGAUUUAUUGGGCGUAAAGAGCUCGUAGGCGGUUUGGUAAGUCGGAUGUGAAAUCUCCACGCUCAACGUGGAGGGGCCAUUCGAUACUGCCGUGACUCGAGUCCGGUAGGGGAGUGUGGAAUUCCCGGUGUAGCGGUGAAAUGCGCAGAGAUCGGGAGGAACACCCGUAGCGAAGGCGGCACUCUGGGCCGGUACUGACGCUGAGGAGCGAAAGCGUGGGGAGCGAACAGG
rnacentral:rRNA from 1 species